UUUUUUUUUUUUUUUUUUUUUUUUUUUUUUUUUUGCUAUUUCUUUGGGCCGCUCCUGCGGCAUAUGGAGGUUCCCAGGCUAGGGGUCGAAUCAGAGCUGUAGCCACUGGCCUACACCAGAGCCACAGCAAUGCGGGAUCCGAGCCAUGUCUGCAAUCUACACCACAGCUCAUGGCAACGCCGGAUCGUUAACCCACUGAGCAAGGGCAGGGACCGAACCCGCAACCUCAUGGUUCCUAGUCGGAUUCGUUAACCACUGUGCCACAACGGGAACUCCCCCACUGUGCCACGAUGGGAACUCCCUGAGCUUUUCUUUGUUUCCUGAGGUGGGCUUGUAUUGCUAUAAUCUUUCCUCUUAGAAUGGCUUUUGCUGCAUCCCAUAAGUUUUGGAGUGUCAUAUCUUUGUUGUCAUUUGCUGCCAGGUAUUUUUUAAUUUCCUCUUUGAUUUCUGCAGUGAUCCAUUGGUUGUUUAGUAGCAUGUUGUUUAGUCUCCACGUGUUUGUGUUUUUUGCAGAUUUUUUCUUGUUGUUGAUUUCUAGUCGUAUAUGUAGUCGGAAAAGAUGCUUGAUAUGAUUUCAAUUUUCUUAAAGUUACUGAGGUUGGAUUUGUAGCCCAGGAUGUGAUCAAUCUUAGAGUGUUCCAUGUGCACUUGAGAAGAAUGUGUAUUCUGUUGCUUUUGGAUGAAAUAUCCUAUAAAUAUCUAUUAAGUCCAUCUGGUUUAAUGAUUCAUUCAGGGCCUGUGUUUCCUUUAUUGAUUUUCUGUCUGGAUGAUCUGUCCAUUGCUGUGAGUGGGGUGUUAAAGUCCCCCACUAUUAUUGUGUUAUUGUUGAGUUGUCCUUUUAAGGUUGUUAGCAGUUAUCCUCUAUAUUGUGGUGAACCUAUGUUGGGUGCAUAGAUAUUUAAAAUUGUUAUAUUUUCUUCUUGGAUUGAUCCUUUGAUCAUUACGUAAUGACCUUCUCUGUCCCUUAAAAUAUUCUUCAUUUUAAAGUCUAUUUUGUCUGAUAUGAGUAUUGCUACUCCAGCUUUCUUUUGAUCCCCAUUUACGUGAAAUAUUUUCUUCCAUCCUCUCACUUUCAAUUUGUAUGUAUCCCUAGAAGUGAAGUGGGUCUCUUGAAGACAGCAUAUAUAUGGGUCUUGUUUUUGUAUCCAUUCAGCCAGUCUAUGUCUUUUGGUUGGGGCAUUUAGUCCAUUAACAUUUAAGGUAAUUAUUGAUAUGUAUGUUUAUUGACAUUUUAUUAAUUGCUUUGGAUUUGUUUUUAUUGCUCUUUUCUCUUCCUUUUUCUUGUUCUCUCCUCUUCUGGUUUGAUGACUGUCUUUAGUGUUGUAUUUGAGUUGAUUUUUCUUUGUUUGUGUAUCAAUUGUAGAUUUUUGGUUUGCAUUUAUUCUGAAGUUUUGAUAUAAGAGUCUAUAUGUAUAUGAGAUUGUUUUAAGUUGUUGUUCUCUUAAUUGCAAGUUCAUCUCCAGUAUCCUGCAUUUGUACCCACCUCUUCUCAUGAUUUCUGAUUUUGGUGGCAUAAUUGUACAUGGAUGAUUUCGUGUCUUUACUGUAUAUAUACCUUUACAGGUAAGCCUUGUCAUUUGUGAUAUUUUUGUUUCCUGUUGCUGUCUUUUCUUUUCAGCCUAGAGAAGUUCCUUUAGUAUUUGUUGUAAGGCUAGUUUAGUGUUGCUGAAUUCUCUCAACUUUUGCUUAUCUGUGAAGGUUUUGAUUUCUCCUUCAAAUCUGAAUGAGAGCCUUGCUGGGUAAAGUAAUCUUGGUUGGAGGUUUUUUCCUUUCAUCACGUGAAGUAUAUCAUGCCACUCCCUUUUGGCCUGCAGAGUUUCUGCUGAAAAAUCUGCCGAUAACCUUAUUGGGGUUCCCUUGUAUGUUACUGGUUUCUUUUCCCUAGCUGCUUUCACGAUUUUCUCUUUGUCUUUAAUUUUGGUCAGUUUGAUUAAUAUGUGUCUUGGUGUAUUCCUCCUUGGGUUUAUUUUAUAUGGUACUCGUUGUGCUUCCUGGAUUUGAGUGAGUGAUUCCUUCCCGUGUGAGGGAAGUUUUUGUCUAUUAUCUCUUGGAAUAUUUUUUCUGUCCCCUUCUCUCGCUCUUCUACUUCUGGCACCCCAUAAUACAGAUGUUGGCACGUUUCACGUUGUCCCAGAGUUCUCUGAGACUCUCUUCAUUUGUUUUCAAUCUUUUUUCUCUUUUUUGUUCUGCAUUCGUAGUUUCUACUAAUCUGUCCUCCACCUUGCUUAUUCGUUCUUCUGCUUCCUGUAUUCUGCUGUUAGCUGCUUCUAGUGAAUUUUUCAUUUCAGUUAUUUUAUUUUGCAUCUCUUCUUGUUUAAGUUUUAUAUCUUGUAUCUCUUUGCUCAGUGUUUCCUCUAAGUUAUCCAUCUUUGCCUCCAGUUUAUUUCCAAUGUCUUGCAUCAUCUUUAGCAUCAAAAAUCUGAAGUCUUUUUCCUGGAGGCUGAGGAUCUCCUCAUCGCUUAGCUGAUUUUCUGGGUUUUUUUCCUUCUACCUCAUCUGAGUUAUACUUCUCUGUCUUUUCAUUUUUACAGGUUUUUGGUGUGGAGACCUUUUUGCAGAUAAUAGAGUUGUAGCCUCUCUUACUUCUGGUGUUUUCCUCCCUUGUGGCUGAAGUUGGUAUGGGGGUUUGCUGUAGGCUUCCUGAUGGGAGGAACUGAUGCCUGCCCACUGGUAGGUGGGGCCGAUUCUAAUCCCUUUGGUGGGUGGGGCUUAGUCUCUGGAUGGGAUUAGAGGCAGUUGUGUGCCUGGGGGGGUCUUUAGGUAGCCUGUUUACUGAGGGGCAGGGCUGUGAUCCCAUCUGGAUUGUUGUUUGCCCUGGGGCUUCUCAGUGCUGAUAAGUGGGGCCAGAUUUUCCCAAAAUGGCCCCCUCCAGAGAAAGGCAGGGCUGCUGAAUAUUCCUGAGAGCUUUGCUUCCAAUGACCUUCCCUCACAACAAGCCACAUUCAGCCCUGUUUUCCCAUGAUGUCCUCCAAGAACUACAGUCAGGUUUGACCCAGAUUCCUAUGGAGACUUUGCUUUGCCCUGGGACCCAGUGCAUGUUAAAGUCUGUGUGUGCCUUUGAAGAAUGGGGUCUCUGUUUCCUUCAAUGCCAGAUGCUCCAGGGGCUCUUUUUCCCAGUGCCAGAUCCCCACAUGUGGGAGUUUGAUGUGGGGCUCAGAACUCUCACUCCUGUAGGUGACUUUGUGAACCAGUUAGUUUCCAGUCCGUGGGACUUCCCACCCGUGAGGUAUGGGAUUGUUUAUAUCACGUAAUUGCCCCUCUGACCUCUUGAUGUGGCCUCUUUGUCUUCUGGAGUAGGAUAUCUUUUUUAAGGUUUCUAGUCCAUUUGGUUGAAGAUUGCCCAGGCUUUAGUUGUGAAUUUUGUUGUUUUUAGGAGAGAAGCUGAGCUCCAGUCCUUCUAUUCCGCCAUCUUAAUCCCAUCUGUCUAUUUAUCUUGACUGCUGCUUCUAAACCAGACUACUCCUAACACACUUUUUCAUAUCAAUUAGUUGGAACCAUGAAACAGAGGAGUUGGCUAUCCCUGCUUGAUGCGUUAAGAAAGGCUUGGGUUUCUUUCUUGGCUUCUGUCUUUACCUCACCUCUAAGAAUGUCCCUAUGUUUAUAUUUCUCUGAUCUUCCUAUUCAGACUCUAUUACCUAACUUUGUGCUCCUACCAAAUCUUGUGGCAGCUUUCCCGAGUUUUUUUUCUCCCCAUCUUUUGAAUUCUACCUCAAAUAUCCAGGUUGCACUCACCUCUUUAUUUAUUCCUUGUAGCCUCUAGCAUGGAGUCAAGUAUGAGUUCCAGAGAUCCACUCCUAGUCCUAUAAUUGGUUACUGGUCCCUACCAGAUAGCAAUAGCACCAGUCACUGUCUCUCAGACAAGGGGGUGCCAUACAGAAACAAAUCUUAACUUCAAGGUAAGGGCAGGAAGAAAGUGAAAGACUCUGAGCCUGAGGGGCUAUCCACAAAGUGACCUCUUGCAAAGCACUUUUCAAAUUUUUGUCCAAAAGCAAAAGUUCUAGGGCAUCCAGUUGAAUGAGGGCUUUCUGCUUCCCUGUUCCCAGUAGUGAUCCCUUGGAAAUAAAGAAAAUAUACAUGCUAGCUCUAGCAGAAAAGCCAUUAUUGAUCUCUGCUCUAGAGAGAAGCAAUGCUGUUUCUCGUCAAACAAAGAUCUCUAUUUUUGAAAAGAACAAAAGAAAGCCAAGAAUAAAUACCCAGGUUUUCUCCCUGCAAAUGACUGUUUAUCUUAUUGAGCCUUGGGCAUGUAUGAACUAGAAAAAUCAAAGAAGCAAAGAACCUGUUUAGGUUUCAGAUAGUCUCCACAAGACUGAAAUGAGUACUCAGCUGUGGUAGACAAAUUCAGAAGUUUUCACAAAAUGGUCCUGUGAUUGUUUUGAAAUGAUUUAUUCACUUCUCUCUCUCACACACACGCACACACACACACUACGGCUGGAUUCUCCUAUUCAUUGUCCCUGGCAAGUGCUGUUGAUUGCCUGCUUAGACAACUGCAGUGCCAUGCCUCUUGGACCUCCAAAGCAGCUCAUUCUAUCCAUUUCAAGGUUCAGUGUUCAAGUUCUGCCCAUUGGAAGUUAUUCUUUACAUUAAAAUUAAACUCCUCUUUUUAGAAACUCCCACCUCUGUCUCCGUUCUAAUUCCUUGAUCUCCAGAGGACAAGUCAGAACCAAAUGUGUGACCAUCCACCAAAUGUUUGUUGACAGUAACCAUUGUCCCAUGAAUCUCUUAGUUAACUUUUUCUUGUGAUUCUAAGUUGGCACACACCCAGGACACACCGCUCUUGCCUAGAACAAAUGAGAAGACCACAUUGUUUUUGAACUGAUUUGAAUUCCCCAUUCCUUACCCAUGGCUAAUCAACCACAAAGUCCUGCUUAUUCUACCGCCUGCAAGGUUCUUAAGUAAGGCAGUGGUGAAUCACGCAGUUGUUAGGAAUCCAGAUUCAGGAUCUAGACUUCUUAGGUUUCCAUCUAUCAUUUGCAGGCUGGAUCCCUUUGGCCUCAAUAUCAAUAAAAUGGAGGGAGUGGCAAUACUUAAUCCAUAAGAUUGUUGAAUAAAUAUAUGUAAUGCUCUUAAAACAGUGGUUGACACGUAAUCACCUGAUAAGUGUUGUUACUGACAUUGUUUUUUUUUUAUCACUGAAUCUCCUCUCUUCUUUUCUCAAUCAUAGUCUUUUUAUUUUUUUUAUUACUCAAGUGAAUUUAUCACAUUUAUAGUUGUAUAAUGAUCAUAACAAUCUGAUUUCACAGGAUUUCUAUCCCACAGCCCAAUCAUACAGUCUUCAUUCAAGCUGACACUGAACAUCUUCAGUAGCUUCUUAACUUUUCUUCAUGACUCUGCCUCCAACAGUUCAUUCUUUUUUUUUUUUUUUUUUUUGUCUUUUGUCUUUUGUCUUUUUUUUGUUGUUGUUGUUGCUAUUUCUUGAGCCGCUCCCGCAGCAUAUGGAGGUUCCCAGGCUAGGGGUUGAAUCGGAGCUGUAGCCACCGGCCUACACCAGAGCCACAGCAACGCAGGAUCCGAGCCGCGUCUGCAACCUACACCACAGCUCACGGCAACGCCGGAUCGUUAACCCACUGAGCAAGGGCAGGGACCGAACCCGCAACCUCAUGGUUCCUAGUCGGAUUCGUUAACCACUGCGCCAUGACGGGAACUCCCCAACAGUUCAUUCUUACAUUGUAUAGCCAGAAUACACAAAUGGACAAAAAUUUGGUGAAAUUGUGUAUCUGAGGAUGUGGAGAUGACAGGAACCAUGAGAGAAUAAGAAACCACGGGAACUGAGAAAAUCCAUCAAACGCUUUUGGUGGUACUCUGCUGUGGCCUGGGGUUUUUGUCCAAGGUUGUGUGAAGGGACAGGGUAUCCACCUAAGUAUCAAACACUCCAACCCCUGAAUGUUUGACUCUUGGUGUGAGGCAGAGAGCAGCCCAGUCCUUAGGGAGGUCCUAGUCAUACCUAACCUGGGUGACAUCAUCACUGUAUCUUGGAAAAAUGGGCACUGUCCUCUUUUGGUCCCUUGGUGAUGUUAAGGGUUCCUUUGGAUAGUUUCUCUGAUAGGGUUUGCUGGGUCACAAUCCACCACAAAACUCAGUGGCUUAAAACAACAACCAUGUAUUAUUAUAUCUCAUAUGAGUGUGGGUUGGCUGAUCUAGGUUGGUUUCAGCAGAUCUCGGCUAGGUGUGCUAAUACUUCUUCAGGUCAACUGGGACACUGUUCUUUGUUGGACUGGAUAGGUCAUCUUAACUGGGGAGUCCCUGCUUCAGGCAUCAUUCCUUUUCUUCCAGAGGCCAGCAUCGAGCACAAACUUUUCCUUCUCAAUAAUAAAUGGAGAAAUUGCAAGAGGAAACAUGUCAGGAUUAGGCUCAGAGCUGACACAUCGUCCAUUCUGUUUCAUGCGGUUGCUGAACCAAACUAAGUCACAGGGCUAAAUCAGGAUCCGGAAGUAAUAUUCAUCUAUUAUGCCCAUAAAUUUCCUGCUGUGAGGAACUUGGCAAAUAUGGAAUCUCCUGGUUGCUGCCCAGGGGUUUACAGAGGUCCUACACUGGCAAAUACUAUAUCUUCAUUUGAGACCACGGAUCUCAAACUCAAAUACUUACAGAGGCCAGGAAGCCAAUAUAAUGAGUGAAUUGCGUGUGGUGGGAAGCACAGUUAAUGGAGAGGUUAUGUCCUAUCUUGAGCAAGGGAGGUAACUGUAGUCAUUAUGAAUGCUAUGCCCAGUAUUAAGAGCAACUGUUUACAAUACUUGUAUAUGGUAGGCACUGUUUUAAGAGCAUCACUUAUAUUAGUUCAUUCAAUCUUUACCCUUGAGAUAGGUAUUUUUAUUAUUGUUCCCAUUUGAUAGAUGAGCAAAUUGAGGCACAGACAGGUUUGAUACCUUGUCCCCAAUCACAGAGCCAGGAUUCUAAGCCAGGAAAUCAGGCUUAAGAGUUCACAUUCUUAAACAUCACACCUACAAUCAAAUCUUUUUUUAAAAAAAGUCAGAAAUGCACAUUUUCACAUGGAAUCAUUCAAGUUUCACAUCUUGUCAAGUAAUUUAAAUAAAUAAAAAUCCCUGUGCAGGCCAAGGAAAAAAUAAUAUAUAGGCUGAAUUUGGCUGUGAGCCUCUGGUUUAAGACCACUAUUUGACCUAGAGAGUUGGUCUGCUCAGGAUAAUUUUAUCCUGGACAGUGGCAGCUGUCAAGCCACUCCAAGCCUCCUGUUCUUCUGGAAAAGUACUGAACUCAAUCAAAGCUUCAAAAAUCAAUCCCGAGAUCCCCAGUAGUGUCUUCACAAAAGUCUAACUGAUUCUCCUGCCCUGGCAUUGGCCCAGGGUAUCAGGUAGGCACUGCCUGACAUUGGCCAGUCCUUUAGAGGGCAUUGGAAAUUGAGCCCAAGGCACAAACUGGCCUUGGUUUGCAGAUCAGGCUUGGGACUUACCGUGAGCCUUUUCACCUUGGCAGUUCAUCUUCCUGUAGGACCCGGGGCAGGUGAGAGAUGUCUCAGGGGCCAAGCAGGUGUGGUUUAACAUCACUGUCAAGAAUUGGCAGGGCAGGGAGAGGGGCUUGAAGAAGGAAAAUCCCUAGGAAGGAAAGAGGGUGUGAAAGCCAGUGAUGAAAAAUUUAUUGCACAAUGCACAGAGAGAUGAACAACACCCAUGGUGUGCCAAAGAGAAAGUCUGAAAGUGAAGAAGAAGGAACUUUGAUUCAGAAAAAACUUUGUUCUCCUUUUCCUAGAGCUUCUCUUGAAUUGUCCCAAAUGACAAGGUAAGUCCUGGUAGAAACAGCCUAACUCUCUUAAGCCUAUAGUAGACUCCGUGUGUCUGUUGGUUAGAGAAGGGGAAGGGUUGUCCUUGCCUUCCUUGAAAAUCUGAAAACUGUCCCCUGAUCCCCAGUCCUUCUUAAAGUCUCACCUGUCACUCUCAUGCUGCAAAAUCCAGCUCACUUGUUCUUUCAGUAGUGAUAACAGCCAAAUCUCUUAUUUUAUGUAAUACGGCAUUUCCUCCACUAUCAACCCCACCUCUUCCUCCUCUGUCAGUUUGAAAGCAAAGACUUAAGAAUUUUUUUUUCUCUGCAAAAUUCCCCACCCUCCAUCUUUUUGGCAGGAACAGAUGCUGGGAUUUCUGAAGGUGGGAAAAUAAGUGGUUACAUCCUCAAGUUAUAUUUUUUAGCACUCAUGUAACAAAUCCUAGUAAUAUUUACCCCUUUGUAUUAUCUAGAGGGUUAUUAUUUGCUAUGCCUGCUGUUUUCUCAAGAGCUCACAGGGGGGAAAAAAAAGCAGAUUCCUGCUUCACUGUGACCAGGAAUGAUGGGAAUGUAGUUAAUUACAUUCUUUUGGAGGGACCACACUCUGUUGAUGGGGCCGACAGUUGUAUUCAUGGCAAUGAAACCCAUGAGGGACUUGUGAAAAAAAACAAAACCCAUGUAGAUUUACAGUAUUAUUUCCUUAUUAUAAGUGUAAUGCAUAUUCAUUGUAAACAUAGCUUAGAAAAUAUAAAAGAGAUGAAUAAAAUAAUCACUAAUAUUUCUUUCCAUCAGUGAGAAGUUUCACAGUUUGGAAUACUGUUACCAUGUUCCUGUUCAGAAUUACACUGUAAAUAAAUAUUAAUAUCUAGAUUUAUUUUUCACUG
rnacentral:lncRNA from 1 species